AUGCAGCCAAGCAAGUUCUAGAUCCCAAAUUAAAAGGUUGUCAAGUAGAAGACGGAACAAGCUUCCGGAGAACAAUAUCUGAACCUGUGGGUUCAAAUGACAAGAGAGGAACUUCUGAUGAAGCAUGAGGAAGAACUUCCUGAUGGCAAAAGUUUCUUGAGACUUGUGGAAGACAGUUUUAAGAAGGUUUUGCUGCAUUGGGAGUCUUUAGGCAAAGAUUGGACAGGGACACUGGUGAAUUCUUGCAUUGGCGGAAGAUUGGUUUACAUGGUCCUUGAAGUCCGUCUCCAACUCUGGUUGUGUGCCUUCAAGGGGUUUCUGAUUUAUGGAAACUCUAAACCAGGGGUCCCCAAAGUAAGACCCUCCAAGGUCAUUGACCUGGCCCCUGUCCUAAACUUUAGACUUAGGGUUGACCUAAGUCUGCCUGGUCUUUGGAGGUCAUUUUGCUUGCCUAUGGUCUUAUGAGAUCGUCUAGAUGGUCUUUGAAGGUCUCUUUGCUUAGCUAUGGCCUUAGGAGACCAUCUAGAUGGCUUUUGGAGAUCACUUUCCUUACUUAUGGUCCUAUGAGACCAUCUAGAUGGCCUUUGAGGGUCCCUUUCCUUACCUAUGGUUUUAUGAGAUUGUCUAGAUGGCCUUUGGGGGGCCCUUUCCUUCUCUAUGGUCUUAUGAAACCAUCUAGAUGGUCUUUGAGGGUCCCUUUCCUUAGCUAUGGUCUUCUGAUGGCCUUAUGAGAUCGUGUACAUGGCCUUUGAGGGUCCUUUUCCUUACCUAUGGUUUUAUGAGACCAUCUAGAUGGUCUUUGGAGGUCUCUUUGCUUACCUAUGGUCUUAUGAGAUCAUCUAGAUCAGGGGUCCCCAAACUAAGGCCCUCCAAGGUCAUUUACCUGACCUCUGUCCUAAACUUUAGACUUAGGGUUGACCUAAGUCUGAAAUGACUUGAAGGCACACAACAACAACAAUCCUAAUUUUGGACUAUUUCAUCAUAGUCUGGCCUCCCAACAGUCUGAGGGACUGUGAAUCGGCCCUCCACUUAAAAAGUUUGAGGACCCCUGCUCUAAACCAAGAGGCACCAGGACUUCCUUCAAUCUGGAUACUAGACUCCUUUGGAUGCAGCCCAAAGUCCCAUUGGCUUUUUGAGCUGCUGCAUCACACUCUUGGCUCACGUUCAGUUUGUUCUUCACGAAGACUCCAAGAUCUUUCUUUCGAGGACUGUUGCCAAGCCAGUGCGUCACCCAUCCUGUAUCUUUGCAUUUCAUUGUUUCUGCCUAAGUUUCAUAUCUUACAUUUGUUCUUGUUGAAAUGCAUUUUGUGAGUUUUGGCCAAUCGGCAGUUUAAUCUGUCCUCUGGAGUAUUCGCUCUCCCUCCCAAUUUGGUCCCAUCCACACACUUGAUCCGCCUGCCCUCUAAACCUUCAUCCAAGUCAUUAAUAAAGAUGUUGAACAGAACUGGGCCCAGGACCGAAUCCUCUUUACAGCACUCCACUAGUCAAUAGUAGAGGCUGUAACUUAGUAGUAGAACAUAAGUUUUGUAUCCAGGAGCUCCCAUGUUCCAUCCUGGCCUCUGUAUGUGGGGCUAGAGUAAGGUAACUACAGAAUCACAGAAUCCUAGAAUAAUAGAGUUGGAAGAGACCACAUGGGCCAUCUAGUUCAACCCCCUUCUUAUUGCUGCAUAUGCAUGUAUUAGACUAAGUUUUUGUGGGAUCGCCACUUGUGUGUAUGUGUGUUAAGGGAAAAACACCUGAUCAAUUACAAUUCACAAUCAAGGAUAACAAGCUUGAACCACUCCUUGAAUGGGGUAUAACUUGGGGAAUGUUUGUAAUGCUUUUUGGGAUUUGCUGAAUCACUUGCUUCAGAACUUACUUGGAGUAAGUUCCUGGCUGAGAACCUACUAUGCUUGUCUCCUUCCACCAUUGAAGAAAUCUCCAAAGAAAAUGCAUGAAUUUAAUGCAAAGAACUUUAUGCUAAACAGACCCAGCUCUUUAAGACGCUCCUCAGAAGGAGACCUUGGAUCCUUUGAGUCUCCCUCUGGACACCUUCCAGCUUAGAGUCAAUAUCUCUCUUCAACUCUUCAACUGAAAUGCCACGUGGAGGAUGGAGCACAGCACCACAUGGACCCAUGGGAACGAGCUCAAGGCUUCUCAGCGGAACGAAAUUUCAUGCAAAUUGAUAAAACAAAGAAACCACCCAUUUCAAACAGCAGUAAAGACUGUGCUAAUAAAGCCACUUUAAUAUCAAAGAGCCUUGUCCUUCUGCCUCCCGGCCUUGUUAAAUCAGUUUAACAACACUUAAAUAUAUUUCUGCACAACGGCACUAUUUCUUGCCUUUGAAGCGAAGCUGAAUGGUAUUAUGAAAGCAGCUGCCCAACUUUGCCCAGUAUUCCAACUAUCACGUUUCUCAAAAAUGGGAACUUUUGGCGUCUGUGCCAAGGAGUGCAAAGAAGGCUCUGCCAGCGUGUGAUGAGGAUUAACGUAAGAACCUGUCCGUUUGCUUGCAGAUUCAUUCUUCCCUUCACCCCAAAGCAGUCAUUCUUUAAGAAUAAGCACAACACAUGUGUGCGAGGACUUGCCAAGCGAGCGGAGAUGCAAAAUAGCUUUUGUUUGCUUGUCCUGCUUUGACCUGCAUUGUUCUGUGCCUUAGCAACACAGUUUCAUG